UACGGAGGGUGCGAGCGUUGUCCGGAAUCACUGGGCGUAAAGGGCGCGUAGGCGGCCACCGCAAGUCGACUGUGAAAUCUCCGGGCUUAACCCGGAAAGGUCAGCCGAUACUGCGGGGCUAGAGUGCAGAAGGGGCAACUGGAAUUCUCGGUGUAGCGGUGAAAUGCGUAGAUAUCGAGAGGAACACCUGCGGCGAAGGCGGGUUGCUGGGCUGACACUGACGCUGAGGCGCGAAAGCGAGGGGAGCGAACGGG
rnacentral:rRNA from 1 species